rnacentral:rRNA from 1 species
GGUUAAGCGACUAAGCGUACACGGUGGAUGCCCUGGCAGUCAGAGGCGAUGAAGGACGUGCUAAUCUGCGAUAAGCGUCGGUAAGGUGAUAUGAACCGUUAUAACCGGCGAUUUCCGAAUGGGGAAACCCAGUGUGUUUCGACACACUAUCAUUAACUGAAUCCAUAGGUUAAUGAGGCGAACCGGGGGAACUGAAACAUCUAAGUACCCCGAGGAAAAGAAAUCAACCGAGAUUCCCCCAGUAGCGGCGAGCGAACGGGGAGCAGCCCAGAGCCUGAAUCAGUGUGUGUGUUAGUGGAAGCGUCUGGAAAGGCGCGCGAUACAGGGUGACAGCCCCGUACACAAAAAUGCACAUGCUGUGAGCUCGAUGAGUAGGGCGGGACACGUGGUAUCCUGUCUGAAUAUGGGGGGACCAUCCUCCAAGGCUAAAUACUCCUGACUGACCGAUAGUGAACCAGUACCGUGAGGGAAAGGCGAAAAGAACCCCGGCGAGGGGAGUGAAAAAGAACCUGAAACCGUGUACGUACAAGCAGUGGGAGCACGCUUAGGCGUGUGACUGCGUACCUUUUGUAUAAUGGGUCAGCGACUUAUAUUCUGUAGCAAGGUUAACCGAAUAGGGGAGCCGAAGGGAAACCGAGUCUUAACUGGGCGUUAAGUUGCAGGGUAUAGACCCGAAACCCGGUGAUCUAGCCAUGGGCAGGUUGAAGGUUGGGUAACACUAACUGGAGGACCGAACCGACUAAUGUUGAAAAAUUAGCGGAUGACUUGUGGCUGGGGGUGAAAGGCCAAUCAAACCGGGAGAUAGCUGGUUCUCCCCGAAAGCUAUUUAGGUAGCGCCUCGUGAAUUCAUCUCCGGGGGUAGAGCACUGUUUCGGCAAGGGGGUCAUCCCGACUUACCAACCCGAUGCAAACUGCGAAUACCGGAGAAUGUUAUCACGGGAGACACACGGCGGGUGCUAACGUCCGUCGUGAAGAGGGAAACAACCCAGACCGCCAGCUAAGGUCCCAAAGUCAUGGUUAAGUGGGAAACGAUGUGGGAAGGCCCAGACAGCCAGGAUGUUGGCUUAGAAGCAGCCAUCAUUUAAAGAAAGCGUAAUAGCUCACUGGUCGAGUCGGCCUGCGCGGAAGAUGUAACGGGGCUAAACCAUGCACCGAAGCUGCGGCAGCGACGCUUAUGCGUUGUUGGGUAGGGGAGCGUUCUGUAAGCCUGUGAAGGUGUGCUGUGAGGCAUGCUGGAGGUAUCAGAAGUGCGAAUGCUGACAUAAGUAACGAUAAAGCGGGUGAAAAGCCCGCUCGCCGGAAGACCAAGGGUUCCUGUCCAACGUUAAUCGGGGCAGGGUGAGUCGACCCCUAAGGCGAGGCCGAAAGGCGUAGUCGAUGGGAAACAGGUUAAUAUUCCUGUACUUGGUGUUACUGCGAAGGGGGGACGGAGAAGGCUAUGUUGGCCGGGCGACGGUUGUCCCGGUUUAAGCGUGUAGGCUGGUUUUCCAGGCAAAUCCGGAAAAUCAAGGCUGAGGCGUGAUGACGAGGCACUACGGUGCUGAAGCAACAAAUGCCCUGCUUCCAGGAAAAGCCUCUAAGCAUCAGGUAACAUCAAAUCGUACCCCAAACCGACACAGGUGGUCAGGUAGAGAAUACCAAGGCGCUUGAGAGAACUCGGGUGAAGGAACUAGGCAAAAUGGUGCCGUAACUUCGGGAGAAGGCACGCUGAUAUGUAGGUGANNNNNNNNNNNNNNNNNNNNNNNNNNNNNNNNNNNNNNNNNNNNNNNNNNNNNNNNNNNNNNNNNNNNNNNNNNNNNNNNNNNNNNNNNNNNNNNNNNNNNNNNNNNNNNNNNNNNNNNNNNNNNNNNNNNNNGCGAAGCUCUUGAUCGAAGCCCCGGUAAACGGCGGCCGUAACUAUAACGGUCCUAAGGUAGCGAAAUUCCUUGUCGGGUAAGUUCCGACCUGCACGAAUGGCGUAAUGAUGGCCAGGCUGUCUCCACCCGAGACUCAGUGAAAUUGAACUCGCUGUGAAGAUGCAGUGUACCCGCGGCAAGACGGAAAGACCCCGUGAACCUUUACUAUAGCUUGACACUGAACAUUGAGCCUUGAUGUGUAGGAUAGGUGGGAGGCUUAGAAGUGUGGACGCCAGUCUGCAUGGAGCCGACCUUGAAAUACCACCCUUUAAUGUUUGAUGUUCUAACGUUGACCCGUAAUCCGGGUUGCGGACAGUGUCUGGUGGGUAGUUUGACUGGGGCGGUCUCCUCCUAAAGAGUAACGGAGGAGCACGAAGGUUGGCUAAUCCUGGUCGGACAUCAGGAGGUUAGUGCAAUGGCAUAAGCCAGCUUGACUGCGAGCGUGACGGCGCGAGCAGGUGCGAAAGCAGGUCAUAGUGAUCCGGUGGUUCUGAAUGGAAGGGCCAUCGCUCAACGGAUAAAAGGUACUCCGGGGAUAACAGGCUGAUACCGCCCAAGAGUUCAUAUCGACGGCGGUGUUUGGCACCUCGAUGUCGGCUCAUCACAUCCUGGGGCUGAAGUAGGUCCCAAGGGUAUGGCUGUUCGCCAUUUAAAGUGGUACGCGAGCUGGGUUUAGAACGUCGUGAGACAGUUCGGUCCCUAUCUGCCGUGGGCGCUGGAGAACUGAGGGGGGCUGCUCCUAGUACGAGAGGACCGGAGUGGACGCAUCACUGGUGUUCGGGUUGUCAUGCCAAUGGCACUGCCCGGUAGCUAAAUGCGGAAGAGAUAAGUGCUGAAAGCAUCUAAGCACGAAACUUGCCCCGAGAUGAGUUCUCCCUGACUCCUUGAGAGUCCUGAAGGAACGUUGAAGACGACGACGUUGAUAGGCCGGGUGUGUAAGCGCAGCGAUGCGUUGAGCUAACCGGUACUAAUGAACCGUGAGGCUUAACCUU